rnacentral:rRNA from 1 species
AUUGAACGCUGGCGGCAGGCCUAACACAUGCAAGUCGAACGAGUGGCGGAAGGGUGAGUAAUGUCUGGGAAACUGCCUGAUGGAGGGGGAUAACUACUGGAAACGGUAGCUAAUCCCGCAUACCAUCAGAUGUGCCCAGCUGGGAUUAGCUUGUUGGUGGGGUAACGGCUCACCAAGGCGACGAUCCCUAGCUGGCCUGAGAGGAUGACCAGCCACACGGGAACUGAUACACGGUCCAGACUCCUCCGGGGGGCAGCAGUGGGGAAUAUGGCACAAGGGGCGUAAGCCUGAUGCAGCCAUGCCGAGUGUAUGAUGAAGGCCUUCGGGUUGUAAAGUACUUUCAGCGGGUAGGCGUUACCCGCAGAAGAAGCACCGGCUAACUCCGUGCCAGCCGCCGCGGUAAUAC